CUGGUGCCAGCAGCCGCGGUAAUUCCAGCUCCAAUAGCGUAUAUUAAACUUGUUGCAGUUAAAAAGCUCGUAGUUGAAUUUUUGCGUCACCGUGUAUCGACAUUUGUCGUUUAUCGGUUUCGCUUUUGGGAUUUAUCCCUUUUUACUUUGAGAAAAUUAGAGUGUUUCAAGCAGACUUUUGUCUUGAAUACUUCAGCAUGGAAUAAUAGAGUAGGACUUUGGUUCUAUUUUGUUGGUUUGUGAACCUUAGUAAUGGUUAAUAGGAACGGUUGGGGGCAUUCGUAUUUAACUGUCAGAGGUGAAAUUCUUAGAUUUGUUAAAGACGAACUACUGCGAAAGCAUUUGCCAAGGACGUUUUCAUUAAUCAAGAACGAAAGUUAGGGGAUCGAAGACGAUCAGAUACCGUCGUAGUCCUAACCAUAAACUAUGCCGACUAGGGAUUGGAGGUCGUCAUUUUUCCGACUCCUUCAGCACCUU
rnacentral:rRNA from 1 species